rnacentral:lncRNA from 1 species
GCAUUUUGUACAGUAAUUCAGAAAGUUUGUCUCAAUGUUAUACAACUUCUACAUUUCUUUUGUUGCUUGAUCCAAUGUUCAGUCUCUCAUCAUAAGUUUUCCAGCAUGUUUUGCAUAAUAGAUGAAGGAUUUCUGAUCUCUCAGCUCAAGCUUUUUCAGUCAAAUAUGUAUUAUCAACAAGAUGGUGUCCUCUAAACUGGGGAAAGUCUGUUUAGGAACUUGACAAUGUCUUCCUAGAGUGCUGAAUUGAGAGAAGUGGUCCAAUUCCCUGGCUCCAUGAUCACCAGACAUUACGUCUUUUGACUUCAUCUUAUGGAGAUGCAUCAAGAACAUUGUAUACGCAUGCAUGUGCUGAAUGUUCCAAAUGACAAGAUUGUGUAUGAAAUGCCAUUUUCCAACAUAUCUUACAUAAUAGAUGCUAACAGAUCAAAUAUUAUGUUUAUGUAUUCCAAUCAACAAAAGAAGCUCAUGUGGAAAUUGUAUGGCAUGCUGAUAAACUUCCUGAAUUAUUGUAUGAAAUACACAAAAUUGUUUUCAUUUAUCAUGUUUUGUUAAAAAAAUAUUGCAUUUUCUUUUCCAAAAUACCUUUUAUAGAAUAUCCUGAACAGGUAGCCCUCGGUUUACGCCAUAGUUCCGUUCCCACAAAAGCCAGCGCAAAUCAAAUUAGCGUAAAAUGAACCCAAAUUUACAGUGAGGUAUAGGGUUAGGUUCUACAU